rnacentral:rRNA from 1 species
UACGGAAGGGGCAAGCGUUGUUCGGAAUCAUUGGGCGUAAAGGGCGUGCAGGUGGCUCUGUAUGUCUGCCGUGAAAGCAUACAGCUCAACUGUAUUGUGUCGGUAGAAACUGCAGGACUUGAGGCUGGGAGGGGCUGGUGGAAUUCCCUGUGUAGCGGUGAAAUGCGUAGAGAUGGGGGAGAACACUCGUGGCGAAGGCGGCCAGCUAGACCAGUUCUGACACUGAGGCGCGACAGCGUGGGGAGCAAACAGG